rnacentral:lncRNA from 1 species
CAGGGUCUUACCAUGUGUGGGCUGCCUUGGAACUUGCUAUGUAGAUCAGGUUGACCUCAAACUCACAGAGAUCCAUUUACCUUUGGCUCCUGACUGCUGCAACAUCAAAGCUGUGUGCCACCCUGGCCUGCUGAGAACCGUGUUCUUGAUCAAUUACACGUUGCUAAAUUUAACUGGACUCAAUUUUUCGUUCAGCGUAUCCUUCAGCAUCCUAUUAGGCCACUGCUCAUUCACUUCAAUUCAUUCACUGCUCUGUCCCCUCAGCCACUAUGCUACUGUUUUAUGUUUUUAAAUGUAAGCUAGCAAUAACAUUAUAGUAGGCUUUUCCCUGUGGGAAUAGCGAGAAUACUCCCAUUAACAUCUUGAAGCAGAGAUAACCAUGACCUGGUAACCAUGGCAACAAAAUAGCCAAUACAUGGGUGAUGGUGUAUGCCUCAGGAGAAUGGGGUUGGGGGGGCAGGGCUCCAGACCCUCACCUGGGAUUCCAGUCGUUUUCUCUUGAUCCAACCAGCCAGCAAGCAAGUGACCUUGGCAGACGUUAGAGUGUACAGGAAGUGAUGGUUAACAAGGUCGGGGUACUCUCUGUGAUGAAGCCUUCAGAGAUUAUUAAUCACUAUGGGGUGGGGCUUUGUGGAUGCAGCUGUGUGGGGUUCACCCAUGCUCCUGUUAAGUAGCCCUUCACUGUGUUCCUUCAAGGAAGCCCAGUAAACUCGUCCAUUCACCAAGCUGGAUUGGGUGCGGUCCUUGCUUCAGUCCAUCACUGAUGUUCCAUUACAGUGAGUAGACAUUUGUUCACAUCUGCCAGGGAAGUGUUAAUAAAACAGAUAGUAACUACAGCGACACGCUGUUCUGCUGCUGUUACUCAACCAGCCAGUUAUCUCUAAUUGCAGGAACUGUUUUGUAAUAAAUACAACAUAAAAUGCACUAUUUUAACGCUUGUUCUAUUUUUGUUUGUGGAGAGAAUCUCAGGACGGAGCUCAGGUUGGCCUUGAACAUGAGCUCCACCCCCUUCAGCAUCCUGGAUGCUCAGACUGCAGGUGCGCACCAUUGUGCCUGGCCCAUCUUAACCGUUUGAAGUGUACAGCUCAAUGGUCUCAGCUGCCUUUGUUCUACAGCCGCCUCCAGGGUCCAUUCACCUAAGAGCUUCACUACCCUCAACAGAAACUCAGACUAUUAAGUUCUGCGAGAUGCAGGUAGGUGCCGGUCCCUCGGGUGAGCCUUUCUCUGUACUGCUAGCUCCGGACAUGUGUGCCCACCAGCACUCUACUCAAUACCUGAAGGAUCCUGUUCACAUCUUUGGGGAUCUCUCUGGAUAGUUCUGGCCUCACCGGAACUCCGUGUUCAUUAGCAGCUCUCCGGACUCAUAGGCUUGCGCCUUUAAUCCAGGCGUUCCUGCGCUCUACCUCCGUUUCCUUUUCCCCACGCUCCUAGAAAGCCACUCAAGAUGGCCAGCUCCCCUUGUUACCAGGAGUCGGUGGUCUUUACCAUAGUUCUUCAGUCUCCUAAAAUCAUUGACUUGGCAUAUUGAUUGUGGCUAUUUCAAAUGGAAAGAUACAGUUUCUGUUCCUCUGCCUUGUGGCCAAAGAGAAGUCUAUGUGGGGAAAAGGGCUCAACACUCUGGCUUCUGGGACCACUGUAAGGCUGCUGCCAGGAGACCGGGCCAGCUCAGAAAGGGACUGUGGGUCCCAUAGCCACCUCUAAGGAUCUACUGAGUCUCACCCGUGGAGCCUUGGGGAGUGUGCUGGAACCGUGCCUGUGGCUAAGUCCUCUUCCUCGGCGGCGCCUCCUGGGUCAGAGUUUUCUACCAGGGAAUAAAGAGUGCUGCCGGAGCUGCCCACUGGCCGCCCUCUGUGAGGAGCAGUGCGGGGCACACGGGAGAUUGCUACUCUCUUCAGUUACCCACGCUUGUUUACAGAGACUGGGACAAGGAAACCUGGGCAGGAAGCAGAGGGAGGAGCAAGGAACCCUCUUUGGCUUGCCCAGAGAUUCAAAAGACACCUGCACAUUGGACAGGUCCCUUCCACCGUGUAAACCAGUCCUGUGAGAUGAGGGUUUUGCUAACCUUGUGGGAGGACAAAGACUGGAGGCCUAGCAUGACUCGCUGUGAGGCCACAGUGUAUCCUCUCAACCCUUGUCAGGUGUCCUCCUUUCCCUUGGGAUUGCUGUUGCCACAGUGCAUGUGUCCAAAGACCACAUGUGUCAUACUGUGAGUGACAUUCAGAGUUCCUACCUCUGGCUUUUCCAUCAUCGAGUCUCUAGGUGACAACAUGCAGAUUAUUAGAAAUGCUGUUAAGCAAAUAACUUUCCAUUUAUUUCAAGUCAUUUGAGGCUAAAAGGCUCUUCCAGCUGCUGGUGGAGAGCCUGGGAUGAGGUCAAGCUGAGCGCCUCAGACCCCAUGUCAGCGGUCUAUAUUGGGAGGGCAGGGGCUUCACAAGCAUGGAGAUUUUCAGGGCAUCCUCAUGCUGUAUGGCCUCCUGCCUUGGCUCUAAUCCUUUUACUAUCUUCCUCCCUCCGAAGGCUAGUUCAUGCCCACAAUCAGAUGGGCAUUGUAGAUACUGGACCAGAAGGAAUGGCAAAGGACCAGGGGUCAUGAAACCAUCCACAGCCCUCAUGUAGAGCAGUUAGUCCCAUGAUGGCCGCCACUCUGGAGUUGAAGGUAGACAUUGGACAGGGUCCACUGCUUUGUCAUCCAAGCUGAGCUGGAAUGGCCUGGAGGACUGAGAUUGUUGGCCACCUCCACUGGGGUGAGUAGGGUAAGAUAAGAGUCCUGUCUUCCGAAGCAGGAUAACCAAAGGUAAUGUUUCUCCUGCUUUCAACUCAAGGCUUGCACAGGACCACUAUCCUCCCUCUGCCUACUUUGUGACUUGCAAAGGUACUGCGCUCACUGGUGGCUCUGUGUACCCAUCCACACAACUUACCCAAAGGUCAGACUAGUGAAGUAGCCCCUGGAGUGGAGUCUUAUAGGGAUGACUCGCAGCCCUCAUCCUAAAGUUUUCCUCUUUAUGUUCAUAAUUACACUGUGAUGAACGCUAACUACAGUGCUGGAACUGGAGACGGUGAGACUUCAAAGGUCACUAUCCCCUCUGGGUGGAGCCUUGAUUCCUCCAGAAGCAGAUAGAGAUGUUUUCCUGUGGCAUAGCAACGCAGACAUGGCCUCAAGAGAAAACAUACAUACUCAGAGAUCACUUUUUAAAAAUUUGUUUUGUUUCUGUUUGUUUUGUUUUGAGGAAAAUAUAUUUUUUAAUGGGGAAAUUUCCUCUCAGGGUAGGUGUGAAAAUGCAUUUGCUUUUCCAAGAGACAGGGCCUGGGACAGUGGACAGGGGUUCCUGGGACCUGUGGUGGCUGGCCCAUGCUGAUAGGGCUUAGCUCAGGAGACAGCCUCUCUAGAUAGAUGGGCCUGCUUGAUUGUGCGUUUAUACUUCUGUGGAAGGUGAGCUGUGUGCCUAGGCUUUGGGUUGGUGAACACAGCAAAUAAUUCCUUGUGCUUUCUGUGUUUCUGCCAUGAGACUCCUGAGGUGGCAGACCUUCCUACUCACCUGAGCCUGGAGUGAUUCCUUAUACAGAUUUUUUUUGAGGUCAGUACUAUUGGCCUGACCAAACCCCAGCUUCCCCUUGUGGUUCAGCUACCUGUCCGGGCAUGAACACUCUACUCACGACUGAGCCUCGGAGUAGGGGGUUGACAAGGACUUCACAUUUUGCAGGGUGUUUUUCUGGAUUUUGCUUUUGGAAGUCAAAAUUGAUAUAAUUUUUUUAUGCUGUCCUCGAACAUCUUUUUUGUUUUUGCAAGUAGGGAAGAGAAGCUUUCAUGAGUACUGGGACCUGUAGGCUUGGGCAGGUCUCAUCUCUGUCAGGAAAAUAUGUCCUGCCUGGGACAUGGACAGUCCAAUGUGUGGAAAUGGAAAGUCAAAGGCUCCUGGGGUCUGGGAGUCUUGUCAACAUUCCCUGCUCUUGACAAGAAAGAACACCUGUCUUGGAAAGAUAAUUUUCUGGUAGAGAACACAGUCUUGAAGCUAGAUCCUGAGGACCUGGAGGCAGGGAUAUCUGCAGCCAGCAGGACCUUGGAGGCACCGUCUUGAAAGAACAUGCCAGUGGUACAGUCCUACCACUGACAUCGGUAGCCGAGUCACAGUGAGAUGUGUUCAGGCAUAAGUCUUCUGGAUCCUGGAAAAUAGUCGUGGAAGGGGAAUAUCUUUUGCUGGUCUGCAGUGAUUCUAAAUCGCUCAGCUGCCCCUUGUUAAGUUUGAGAGCUUGCCAUCUCCCUGGCUUCCAUGUUGAGUGCCUAGUCACAGGGCUCCUGCUCCUCCUCUGCCUCCUCCAGUCCCCAUACCUCUAGUACUUGGUAACUGGGGUGCCACACUGAUCUCCCAAACUGACAGCCCGUGGUAGAGAUCUCCAAAGGCCACACCCUUACUCUCCUGGGGCUCAUACCUAUCCUUGACUAGGUUUGAACCUGGCUCUGGGUUGCCUGUCCAAGAUCCAAGAGCCUUAUCACUGGGCCAGUCUCUGCCCACAAUGCAGUGUGUGGUGCAUAGGGAAGUCACAUUGUCCUUCUAAACACUUUGGGUGCCUCAGAUGGCCAAUUGUUGUCAUUAGAUGGACUCCCUCUCAGGAAUUUGAGCUGGCGGGUAGAGGGAGCAGUCUGCAUAUACUAGAAGCCAUUUUUGUCCUCACUUCCUCUUCUGAACUUUUCUGAAAAAGCUCUCCCAGGAAAUCAUCUCUAGAAUCCCAGCAGGUCGGAGAGGGAGUCAGAGGCUGUGGGAAAUGGCAAAGCUACAGACCUGUUUGUGUUGGAAAGAUGUAGGAUUUUGAGGUCUCUGAGAAGCAAGCUCCAUCUUUUUGCCUCACCCAAAAGGCAUCUUCUUGUAGGAAUGAAGGCCCAUUGGGAAAUAUUCUUGCAGGUGGCCCCAUCAUUCAAGGAUCACUGCUUCUGAGCUUCCAUAUUUGUCUCUGGGUUUUCAGAACUUGUCUCUGAGUUUUCAGGCAGGACCACUGUGUGGUCCACAGCAAUUCCUUGACAAGUGCCCACAGGCACCUUAAUGGCAUUGUAAUGGCUCCACUUGCUGCUUGAGUGGUUUUCAGUAUACCCUCUAGCUGCUGUUUUCCUGGGGAGACUAGCUGGGGACUUGGUGAGUCACUUCUUGGCUGUCUGACAUAGCAACUGUCCACCCGUGUCUCGGAGACAGCCUCUAGAUCUUUGCCCAGGGAACCCUCUGGGAUCCUGUACAGAUCUCUCAGAGAUCUUCCUGCAAUGUUUGUCAGAUCCUUGCAAAGGUCCUUCCAAAUCUGGAAUAUGGCUGGACCCAUUGAUGAGACAGGCGCUCCUGUGGAGGCUCCUGGGUGGCUUUUAUCUGCCAGUGUUGAGGAAGAUGGAGCUUCAGGAUUAACUUCUGCAUGACCCAUCUCUGGGAGUUGGUUCUCAGACUUUACCAGAUGAUAUCUGGAUCUUGUAGGGCCAGUGGCCCUGGUUGUUGGCCUUUGUGCUUGGAUGAGAAGGUGUUCAGGGCCUUGGAACUCAGGAACCAUCCAGCUCUGAGGUGUGACAGUGUCCCAAGGGAAGGGUUUCUGGAGACACGGGGGCCCAGGAACCACACAUCUUUGAGAGGAAGUCUCCUUCCUCAUUGGAGGCUUCCCAGCUCCAGGGAAGGAUGUCCCCAGCUGAGCUCAGGAGCCUCAAGCCUACUCCUUCUCUUCCUUUCUUGUCUUCAUUGCUUCUUGUCUUCUUCCAAUGAGAGAAGAACAUGACAGCAGAGCUCAUGAAAGGCAUUCAUUGGUGUGUCCACAGUAUGGAAGAAUGCAUCCUGGAAUAUUAGUGCCUAUGGUUUCAGGAGAGUGCAGAGAGCACUUGCUAAUUGGACAAAGUCCAGUGCUUGUAUAGGUGUUCUUAGGGCAUGGACCUUUCUAGAGUAAGAUUUCCAGAGUGAGGAUGGCUGGCAUCUCAAUUUCUGAGCCUGAGGGAGCUCAGGGAUUGGUGAGUUUACCUGUUCAGGGAUUGGUGGGUUUUGAUGUCCAGGGAUAGGUGAGUUUCUGUGGGAAGUUCAGGGUUUGGUGGAUUUUCCUAUUCAGGAAUUGGUGGCUUUUAUUCAGGCUUUUCACCUAGAAUUAGCAUAACGUGGGUGGGGCCUGUUGACAUGCUGGAGAUGACCCUUCUGACAGUUAUGACAGUUAGUGGGGUUCUGGGGGAGGGGCCUGGCUGCUGGAGAGCCUCAGUCUCAGCCAGGACCAUUUUCUGAGUUGAGGUUUACAAACUUUAUAAAGUGUACAGAGUUUACAAAAUAUAUAGAGUUUGCAAAGGGAGUCCAGGGCAGGAAAGCCAUUCCUGGCACUUGAGUGGCCUGCAUAUCUAACCCAGGUGUUGUCAUGAACCCCUUUUUAAAGUGUUGUUCCAGCUGCUCUCAGAGCUCUGGGUAAUCUUGACAACAUUCCCUUCUCUUGACAAGAAAGAACACCUGUCCUGGAAAGAUGAUUUGCUGGUAGAGGACACAGUCUUGAAGCUAGAUUCUGAGGACCUGGAGGCAGGGAUAUCUGCAGCCAGCAGGACCUUGGAGGCACCGUCUUGAACAAACACACUAGUGGUACAGUCCUACCACUGACAUUGGUAGCUGAGUCACAGUGAGCUGUGCACAGACCUACAUCUUCUAGAUCCUGGAGAAUCGUUCUAGAAUUGGACUACCCUUUGCAGGAAGUCUAAAUCUCUCAGAUGUCCCUUGCUAAUUUGAGAGCUUGCCAUCUCCCUGGCUUCCAUGUUGAGUGCCCAGUCACAGGGCUCCUGCUGCUUUGCUUCCUCCAGUCCCCAGUACCUCUACUACUUGGUGACUGGGAUACCAUGCUGCUCUCCCAAACUGACAGCCCACGGCAGAGAUCUCCAAAGGCCACACCCUCUCGCUCCUGGGUCUUAUACACACCCUUGGCUUUGGCAAACAGGACGAUGAGACCACAUUUGCUGGCAAUUGGCAGCUGAAGGACGACACCCUGAAAGAAGAUGUGUUGUCUGUUCCACCACGGUCCCCACAGUUCCACAUCAUCUCUCCAGCUUUAAGGAGACCCCACCUUCCCUGCUGUGGCUUUCCAAAGCAUCCAGAAGCACGCUUGCCGGCCCAGGAGUGUCCCAAAUGGUGGGAUAAAGUAGAGGAAGCAUUUUAGCGCUUCUUACUGCUACAUCAGUAAUUCUUGACACCCAACCCCCUUUCAGAUUCUCUCUUCCUCCUCCCUCUCAGCAACACACAAGGAAGGCGUGUGUCUCAGCUGGCAGGCUGCUUGCACAAUACACACCGGAAGCUCUGGGUUCCACCCCAGCACCUUGUACAGAAGAGUGUGGUGGAGCACACCUAUGUGGUCCCAGUCCUGGAGGCAGAAGGGUCAGAAGUUCAAGGAGGCAGCCCGGGAGGAUGCAACAACGCUGUGUAAUCUACCUCAUCCCCGUUAGGUGGCGCCGUAAGCCAACAAAGCUGCCCAGCUCAAGCCAACAAAGAUGUCCAGGACAAUGCCUCUGAAAAUCGGUUUUCUUCCAUUAUUACAGGCUUUUUAGUCAAAAUGGUUCCCUCGCCUUUCUUUGCUUCUUUCUUCUUUAUCAGAAAGGGUCUUUCAGUGUGAAAUACAGCGUGGGUUUGGUGCCAGGUGGAAAAGGAAAUGUGUCUUAAUCCCUCGCCUCGGAAGAAAAAGUGUUUGUUCAUCACAAUUGACAUCUGGUCAAUUUUCAAUUAAGUAAGCAAGCAAUAAUAAUGACGCGAUGCUUCAUUUGCUCCAGAAGCCAGGCAGGCACCAAUCAGCUGCUCUAUCCAAGGAGGAAUUAAACAGGCACCCCCAGCCCCUGCUCUACCCAAAGCCCCAGCCGCAGACAAGCAGAGAAGGCCGGAGGACACAUUCAGGGAGCAAAGGUUUCUGCUUCAAAUUCAAGCAAAUUGGCUGGGCACAGCAGGGAGGACAGCUCUGACAGCUCCAUUGUGUCAGCCUCUGGCCUGAGACUGAAGGAGGCCAGGCUUGUCCCCAUCAGCCCUAGGGUUCUGCCAUGGAUGGAAAGGAGUGAGGUGCUUGGUGCCAGAG